rnacentral:rRNA from 1 species
UACCAGCACCCCGAGUGGUCGGGACGAUUAUUGGGCCUAAAGCAUCCGUAGCCGGUUUUACAAGUCCUCCGUUAAAUCCAACUGCUUAACAGAUGGGCCGCGGAGGAUACUAUAAGACUAGGAGACAGGAGAGGCAAACGGUACUCAGUGGGUAGGGGUAAAAUCCAUUGAUCUACUGAAGACCACCAGUGGCGAAGGCGGUUUGCCAUGAACGCGCUCGA